GCAGUUAUUAACUACUAACCUUCCUCCAAUUGAAAGUGCUUUACAACCGAAGGCCUUCUUCACACACGCGGCAUGGCUGCGUCAGGCUUUCGCCCAUUGCGCAAUAUUCCCA
rnacentral:rRNA from 1 species